GGGUAGGUAGCUCAGCUGGUAGAGCAACGGACUGAAAAUCCGUGUGUCGGCGGUUCAACUCCGCCCCUGCCCA
rfam:Planctomycetes bacterium RBG_13_44_8b RBG_13_scaffold_3219, whole genome shotgun sequence.